GACGAACGCUGGCGGCGUGCUUAACACAUGCAAGUCGAGCGAUCGGGCCGGGAGGGGUAACCCACCCGGUCACGGAGCGGCGAACGGGUGAGUAACACGUGGGCAACCUGCCCCAGGCUC
rnacentral:rRNA from 1 species